UGGACCCGCGGUGCAUUUACUAGUUGGUGAGGUAACGGCUCACCAAGGCCGUGAUGCAUAGCCGACCUGAGAGGGUGAUCGGCCACAUUGGGACUGAGACACGGCCCAAACUCCUACGGGAGGCAGCAGUAGGGAAUCUUCCGCAAUGGACGCAAGUCUGACGGAGCAACGCCGCGUGAGUGAAGAAGGUUUUCGGAUCGUAAAACUCUGUUGUUAGAGAAAAACAAGUGCUAGAGUAACUGUUAGCGCCUUGACGGUAUCUAACCAGAAAGCCACGGCUAACUACGUGCCAGCAGCCGCGGUAAUACGUAGGUGGCAAGCGUUGUCCGGAUUUAUUGGGCGUAAAGCGAGCGCAGGCGGUUCCUUAAGUCUGAUGUGAAAGCCCCCGGCUCAACCGGGGAGGGUCAUUGGAAACUGGGGAACUUGAGUGCAGAAGAGGAGAGUGGAAUUCCAUGUGUAGCGGUGAAAUGCGUAUAUAUAUGGAGGAACACCAGUGGCGAAGGCGACUCUCUGGUCUGUAACUGACGCUGAGGCUCGAAAGCGUGGGUAGCAAACAGUAUUAG
rnacentral:rRNA from 1 species